rnacentral:rRNA from 1 species
AUUGAACGCUGGCGGCAGGCCUAACACAUGCAAGUCGAGCGGAGCGGCGGACGGGGAAGUAAUGCCUAGGACUCGGCCUGGUAGUGGUGGAUAAGGUCCGGAAACGGGCGCUAAUACCGCCUACUAUCAGAAUAGCCUAGGCCGGAUUGGCUCGUUGGUGGGGUAAAGGCAGACCAAGGCGACGAUCCGUAACUGGUCUGAGAGGAUGAUCAGUCACACGGGAACUGAGACACGGUCCAGACUCCUACGGGAGGCAGCAGUGGGGAAUAUUGGACAAUGGGCGAAAGCCUGAUGCAGCCAUGCCGCGUGUGUGAAGAAGGUCUUCGGAUUGUAAAGCACUUUAAGUUGGGAGGCGUUACCAACAGAAUAAGCACCGGCUAACUCCGUGCCAGCAGCCGCGGUAAUUC